rnacentral:lncRNA from 1 species
AUAUAACCAGUCUAUGGAAGAAGCGAUUCGAUAAAAGCUUUUCUUAUAUCAACGAGCGAUAUUGUCUUAUAUCAACGAGUUGCAUUGUGGGAAAUUUCAGACAAAUGUUAGCAUUUGUACGAAGAAAGGCAGAUUUCUCGGUAUAAAGUAAUGACUCUUUUCUUAAAACAGGGUGACAUUUAACAUGACAUACGUCUGGUGUAUAAUUUUCAUGAGUUAUUUUAUGUAAUAACAAGCAAGGUGUAUUUAAACGAUAAAAUUGAAUUAUUGAAUAAAUGAAACAUAAAUGCACGAUUUAUCAUUUGUAGAUGUACACAUUCUAUAAAUAUCAUGUAACAAAUUCAGUGGAAUGCAAUUGAGAUGAAUUCAAUUGUUUGCUACGCCAAAAUCACCUAUAAGUCAACGAUACUGCUAUAUUUUAAAAUAUCAAUGCGAUAUUUUAUUUGCUCAUUGUUGAAGGCCGUACGGCGACCUAUAAUUGUUAAUGUCUGCGUUAUUUUGGUCUCUUGUGGACAGUUGUCUCAUUGACAAUCUUACCACAUCUUCUUUUUUAUAAUUCUAUUUGAAGUGAUGAUGCAAUGGCGGAAUUUAAAAGCGGUUGCAAAUACGUCUACCGACCUAUUAGAUUCUAAUUUACUGGUCACACUGCUAUAGUCUACCCACCUUGGUAAUAUCGAAAUAGACAAAAAAUAUCAUUACUUUCAUUCAAACAAUCCAAUCCAAUACAGCUCCAAAUUACAAUGAAUAUUCAAAUGGUAAAAUCAAUAAUUCAAACAAAUUAAAAUGUACAAAUGCUGAUGUCCCGCUCUUUGAAGAUACAUACGUCUGGUUGAUAAUUUUCAUGAGUUAUGUUAUGUAAUAACAAGCAAGGUGUAUUUAAACGAGAAAAUUGAAUUAUUGAAU